CGUUAUUCGGAAUCACUGGGCUUACAGGGUGCGUAGGCGGCUCAACAAGUCAGGUGUGAAAGCCCCCGGCUCAACCGGGGAACUGCGCUUGAAACUGUUAGGCUCGAGUCAGCUAGAGGUACACGGAACUUCCAGUGGAGCGGUGAAAUGUGUUGAUAUUGGAAGGAACACCGGAGGCGAAAGCGGUGUACUGGGGCUGGUCUGACGCUGAGGCACGAAAGCCAGGGGAGCGAACGGG
rnacentral:rRNA from 1 species